AAAAAAAGUGAAGGCAUAAGCCUACACAUGUAAAGUUAUGUCCCAGUCUAACAGAGAAGGCAAACAAAAUGUAAAGCAGUUAGAGACAGUAAUUCCAAGUUCCCAAAUGCCUUGCAAGAAUCUUUUCAGAGGAAUAGUACUCCCUGAUUUACUUCUCCCACUGAGAUUUUCCAAACCAAGCACUCUUUCUCUCCUUGUCCUUGGAGAGUGGCUGGAGAGAAGAAUUGGGAACACACAAGACAAAGAUCUGCUUGGGGAGGCUUUUCUUGCAGGGCAGAGGAGAAGCUGGAGAUGGAAAGAAUCAAGCAGCAGAGCGUUUUAAUCCAG